rnacentral:rRNA from 1 species
AGUGAACGCUGGCGGUAGGCCUAACACAUGCAAGUCGAACGGCAGCACAGUAAGAGCUUGCUCUUACGGGUGGCGAGUGGCGGACGGGUGAGGAAUACAUCGGAAUCUACUUUUUCGUGGGGGAUAACGUAGGGAAACUUACGCUAAUACCGCAUACGACCUACGGGUGAAAGCAGGGGAUCUUCGGACCUUGCGCGAUUGAAUGAGCCGAUGUCGGAUUAGCUAGUUGGCGGGGUAAAGACCCACCAAGGCGACGAUCCGUAGCUGGUCUGAGAGGAUGAUCAGCCACACUGGAACUGAGACACGGUCCAGACUCCUACGGGAGGCAGCAGUGGGGAAUAUUGGACAAUGGGCGCAAGCCUGAUCCAGCCAUACCGCGUGGGUGAAGAAGGCCUUCGGGUUGGAAAGCCCUUUUGUUGGGAAAGAAAAGCAGCAGGUUAAUACCCCGCUGUUCUGACGGUACCCAAAGAAUAAGCACCGGCUAACUUCGUG